GCAGAAUUUCUCAGAGUUAGUGGUGCUUCAAAUCGGUGUGGUCCCUCAAAUGGCAGGAUGUGGUUUUGUCUGUAGUGAAUCCGUGGUAACCACCUAUUUUUUACUUUUCACUGCAGUAAUUGUCUAUUUUACUUAGCAUUUGCCAUUUGUUUUUUUUAAGCUCGUGUUCUGAUUUUGUAAUAGAUUUAUGUUGUGAUAGAUGCAUGUUUACAAGGUUUGGAAGAUUGACGAGUAUGUUUCAUCGUGACAGGUAUUUUCUUGUAUUGAUUUUUAUGAAUCCUUAAACUUUGCCAAUUCUAUGCCUGAUUUGGAAGAUUGACGAGUAUGUUUCAUCGUGACAGGUAUUUUCUUGUAUUGAUUUUUAUGAAUCCUUAAACUUUGCCAAUUCUAUGCCUGACUUCAAUGUGCCAUGGCUUUGCAGGUUUUGUCAUGCCAUCCUCUUUGAUAAAUGAUGCUUAAUGGUUGGAUGUUACUACUGCCUUGUGAUGCAUUACAGGUUUUGUUUUUGAGACGAACUAGCUUAUGGUGACAUGACUAGUUAUGGACCAAGGUCUUUUCUUCAUGUGUCAUGAUGUUGUAACACGUCGGUACCUGUUUUAAACCUUGCGUAAUUAGUGCUUCUGCAGGUUGUGCUCUACUGAUAUAAUGAUGACAUUUGGUUACGCGACCGUUUGAGUUCGAUCUGGUAUGCGACUUAACGCAGGUUUUGCUGUGACCACUGAUGUGUUGCAGGAUGCUGAUUAACUCAUUCCUGUUGGUAAGCCUAUCAUUACCAUAGAGUUAAACCAUCUCUUUCAUUGUGUGGUAUGAUAACAUUACCGAUGUAUUCAGUCUGUGUUAGUAACCUACUGCAGGUCUGUGAACCUCGAAGUUUUUUCUCAGUUUUAUGUAUUCUAAAAUUUGGAUGCUGCAUUUUGCAGGUUGCAGUUUUUGACUGCUUGCGCAGAAAAUGUAUCUGUCCAAAAGUAGACUGUCACGCUGGAUUGUAAUCAUUGCAGGAUGCGUCACAUUUGGUAGGUUGCAGUUUCAUGUUAUUUUGGCUUGACUGAUUAUUGCAUGUUUUGGAUCGAUACACAUUGCUUGCCAAUUUCAGGUUGGUAAUUCGGAUGGAAGCAAGGCAGUGCAUACUGAUUGACUGAUCAAGGUGAACUGUUACCUUUGUGUUGCAGGUCAUGGCGUGCUUGCUAAAGGGUAGCAUGCGGCUAUUAUGCUGUUAGCUUUGGUUCUGCAGCCAAGAUUUCUUGCUGUUUAAAGGGAUAGUUUGAUGACCGUUGAUGUUAGCUAGUGAUGUGGUUCUGCAACAGCUUUGGUUGGCAGCGGUAUUGAUGACACAGGUGGUGCAAGUGAGAAAACUUGACAAGGCUAGUAGCUAUGUUGGACCUUAAAAAUAAAUAACAGAGAUCCUUCUCGUCAACUGAAGGAAUUCCAAUUUCGUUCCUCUUCUUCUGCAUUACAUUGAACGGCAUCCUUCUUUGUAUGCUUUCUUUUUUGUGAAAUCACGACGCUUGUGCCGUGCCUUGAGUAUUUAGCGUUUAGCUACUACUAGAAAACAGAAGACCGAAUUAACUACACUCUUAAUUUGUCUGGUAAUUCUAGCGCUGAUUUUUCUUUUCGACAUUACUUCUGUUUCGUUUUGUAUGCGAGAUGAAAUAAUCUUGGAAUGUCUGUGAGUUGUCAGUGGGGUGGAGUCUCAGAGAUAAUGGUUUCUGCCAGAUGCUUUCAUUCCUAUUUCCUUCUUAUUGUGAGGUCGCUGAUAUAAUUAUGAACUCUGACAUCUGCAAUACUAAUGCUUUCAUCCAUCUCAGGACCACCAGCUGUUAUGGGAAGUGAAUGCAUUGGUGCAUCAAAUGGUGCUGCAUCGGUUAUUCUUUGGUGAUCCUGAACAAUCAGAGCUGCACGAUAAGCG
rnacentral:lncRNA from 1 species